GAAAUGCGAUAACUAAUGUGAAUUGCAGAAUUCAGUGAAUCAUCGAGUCUUUGAACGCACAUUGCGCCCCCUGGUAUUCCGGGGGGCACGCCUGUCCGAGCGUCAUUGCUGCCCUCAAGCCCGGCUUGUGUGUUGGGUCGCCGUCCCCCUCUCCGGGGGGACGGGCCCGAAAGGCAGCGGCGGCACCGCGUCCGAUCCUCGAGCGUAUGGGGCUUUGUCACAUGCUCUGUAGGAUUGGCCGGCGCCUGCCGACGUGUUCCAACCAUUCUUUCCAGGUUGACCUCGGAUCAGGUAGGGAUACCCGCUGAACUUAAGC
rnacentral:misc_RNA from 1 species